GGGGGAUAACUACUGGAAACGGUAGCUAAUACCGCAUAACGUCGCAAGACCAAAGAGGGGGACCUUCGGGCCUCUUGCCAUCGGAUGUGCCCAGAUGGGAUUAGCUUGUAGGUGAGGUAACGGCUCACCUAGGCGACGAUCCCUAGCUGGUCUGAGAGGAUGACCAGCCACACUGGAACUGAGACACGGUCCAGACUCCUACGGGAGGCAGCAGUGGGGAAUAUUGCACAAUGGGCGCAAGCCUGAUGCAGCCAUGCCGCGUGUAUGAAGAAGGCCUUCGGGUUGUAAAGUACUUUCAGCGGGGAGGAAGGGAGUGAGGUUAAUAACCUCAUUCAUUGACGUUACCCGCAGAAGAAGCACCGGCUAACUCCGUGCCAGCAGCCGCGGUAAUACGGAGGGUGCGAGCGUUAAUCGGAAUUACUGGGCGUAAAGCGCACGCAGGCGGUCUGUCAAGUCGGAUGUGAAAUCCCCGGGCUCAACCUGGGAACUGCAUUCGAAACUGGCAGGCUGGAGUCUUGUAGAGGGGGGUAGAAUUCCAGGUGUAGCGGUGAAAUGCGUAGAGAUCUGGAGGAAUACCGGUGGCGAAGGCGGCCCCCUGGACAAAGACUGACGCUCAGGUGCGAAAGCGUGGGGAGCAAACAGGAUUAGAUACCCUGGUAGUCCACGCUGUAAACGAUGUCGACUUGGAGGUUGUUCCCUUGAGGAGUGGCUUCCGGAGCUAACG
rnacentral:rRNA from 1 species